rnacentral:rRNA from 1 species
AACGAACGCUGGCGGCAUGCCUAACACAUGCAAGUCGAACGAGACCUUCGGGUCUAUUGGCGCACGGGUGCGUAACGCGUGGGAACCUGCCCUUAGGUUCGGAAUAACUCCCCGAAAGGGGUGCUAAUACCGGAUAAUGUCUUCGGACCAAAGAUUUAUCGCCUUUGGAUGGGCCCGCGUUGGAUUAGCUAGUUGGUAGGGUAAAAGCCUACCAAGGCGACGAUCCAUAGCUGGUCUGAGAGGAUGAUCAGCCACACUGGGACUGAGACACGGCCCAGACUCCUACGGGAGGCAGCAGUGGGGAAUGUGGGACAAUGGGCGAAAGCCUGAUCCAGCAAUGCCGCGUGAGUGAUGAAGGCCUUAGGGUUGUAAAGCUCUUUUACCCGGGAUGAUAAUGACAGUACCGGGAGAAUAAGCUCCGGCUAACUCCGUG